rnacentral:rRNA from 1 species
GAUGAACGCUGGCGGCGUGCCUAAUACAUGCAAGUCGAGCGAACGGACGAGAAGCUUGCUUUUCUGAUGUUAGCGGCGGACGGGUGAGUAACACGUGGAUAACCUACCUAUAAGACUGGGAUAACUUCGGGAAACCGGAGCUAAUACCGGAUAAUAUUUUGAACCGCAUGGUUCAAAAGUGAAAGACGGUCUUGCUGUCACUUAUAGAUGGAUCCGCGCUGCAUUAGCUAGUUGGUAAGGUAACGGCUUACCAAGGCAACGAUGCAUAGCCGACCUGAGAGGGGGAUCGGCCACACUGGAACUGAGACACGGUCCAGACUCCUAAGGGAGGCAGCAGUAGGGAAUCUUCCGCAAUGGGCGAAAGCCUGACGGAGCAACGCCGCGUGAGUGAUGAAGGUCUUCGGAUCGUAAAACUCUGUUAUUAGGGAAGAACAUAUGUGUAAGUAACUGUGCACAUCUUGACGGUACCUAAUCAGAAAGCCACGGCUAACUACGUG